rnacentral:rRNA from 1 species
GAGAGAGACAUGCGCGCAUAUCAAUAAGCGGAGGAAAAGAAACUAACUAGGAUUCCCUCAGUAACGGCGAGUGAAGCGGGAAGAGCUCAAAUUUGAAAUCUUCAAGGGUUCUACCUUUACGAAUUGUAGUUUAAAGAAGUGUUUUCUGUUGAGGUUUUGGUAAAAGUUCUUUGGAAUAGGACAUCAUAGAGGGUGAGAAUCCCGUAUUUGACCAUUAUUUCCAGCUUUGUGAUACACUUUCAAAGAGUCGGAUUGUUUGAGAAUGCAGUCCAAAAUGGGUGGUAAAUUUCAUCUAAAGCUAAAUACUGGCGAGAGACCGAUAGCGAACAAGUACCGUGAGGGAAAGAUGAAAAGAACUUUGAAAAGAGAGUUAAACAGUACGUGAAAUUGUCAAAAGGGAAGCGUUUGACACCAGUGUUGUUUUCUCGAAAAUCAAUUAAAAAAGGCAGGAUUUUGUGUUGUAUUGACUUUAUCAGCUUUCUGCACUCUUUUCUUGUCUUUUUUAAUGCACUUUUCGUUUAACAAGUCAACAUCAAUUUCUUUUGUUGUAAAAGGGUCAUUGGAAGGUGGCUUUCUUUUCGGAGAAAGUGUUUAUAGCCUUUGGCCUCUGCAAUCGGAGAGAUUGAGGUCUGCAGCGUAGAUCCUUCGGGGUUAGAUACAUUUGUGCUAAGUUAUAGCCUUUCAUAGACAACUUGUUGACUAUGAUCAGUCAUGUAGCUUACUCGCUUAUGCUAUUUUACCUACGCUUAGGAUGUUGAUGUGAUACUGCGAGCA